AGUGAACGCUGGCGGUAGGCCUAACACAUGCGAGUCGAACGGCAGCACAGUAAGGGCUUGCUCUUACGGGUGGCGAGUGGCGGACGGGUGAGGAAUACAUCGGAAUCUACUUUUUCGUGGGGGAUAACGUAGGGAAACUUACGCUAAUACCGCAUACGACCUACGGGUGAAAGCAGGGGAUCUUCGGACCUUGCGCGAUUGAAUGAGCCGAUGUCGGAUUAGCUAGUUGGCGGGGUAAAGGCCCACCAAGGCGACGAUCCGUAGCUGGUCUGAGAGGAUGAUCAGCCACACUGGAACUGAGACACGGUCCAGACUCCUACGGGAGGCAGCAGUGGGGAAUAUUGGACAAUGGGCGCAAGCCUGAUCCAGCCAUACCGCGUGGGUGAAGAAGGCCUUCGGGUUGUAAAGCCCUUUUGUUGGGAAAGAAAAGCAGCAGGUUAAUACCCCGCUGUUCUGACGGUACCCAAAGAAUAAGCACCGGCUAACUUCGUG
rnacentral:rRNA from 1 species